AACGGCCGUACCAUGCUGAACAUACCGGUUCUCGUUAGAUCACCGAAGUUAAGCAUCAUUGGGCGCGGUCAGUACUUGGGUGGGUGACCACCUGGGAACACUGCGUGCCGUU
rnacentral:rRNA from 1 species